GCGACCCGAGAAGGGGAAAGUGGACGGAGGGAAGAAGCGGCAGGGCGCGCAAGACACAUUUGGUUUCAAGCCACUGUGAUGAACAUCAGGUGACUUUUUUUUGCAACAUCAGACUUGCUUCUUGCAUUCAUAGAGGGACAAGUUUUGUUAUAUGUGUUGAAGAGAUAGAGCAUGCAUCUGGAUGGGGAGAAAAUGCAAUCUGCAGAGAUCACUUUUUAAGUUGUAGCAAAAUUACAAAGCUUUGCAGAUGGGAGCUUACUUUUUCCCUUGUCAAAAGGAAAAAAGACACAAGCACAAUAUGAAGCUUCAGGCGGGGCUCCACCACAAGAA